rnacentral:lncRNA from 1 species
AGGUAUCAAGUCGUUGUAGCAGGAUUCUUAGCGGUUGGUUGGUCAGGACCGCAACUAAAUGCACUUGGAAAUAAGGUCUCAAUCACUGCACUAAGUUGAUGAGAGCAUAGACCAUCUUUUUUGUCCGAGAGUAUUUCAUCUCGACGUCAUGCAGAACUUAGCUUAUAUAGUAGAUCGGGUUUUGCACUCUCUCUUCAUCUUCUCAG